GUAUAUGCUGUGUACAGCAAGACAUUUCAAGCCUGGCAGGAGUAUGUUGAUGUCCAGAGAGAAGACAAAAAAGUUUUAUAUUAAAAUGCAUGACUGGAUGCACUGGAGAGACAGGAUGAAACAUGCCUCGGUUCAUCCAAAGCCCAUCAUCACCGAUGUCUUCACCUGUAAAAUAUUCACUACAUCGAUGAACAGACAGGCUAAGAACCAGACAACAGUGGUUCAGGUCAUUUGGAGGAAUUACCAUAAUCAUUUCGGAAUCUCUGUGUGUAUGAACCUGCUUUGCCGAACAUGUCCUCCCACAAUGCUUGAACUCUUGGACGGAGUUUACAGCACAACGCACAGAGAAACGAGAGAGGGAAGAGAGAGCUGCACAACAUUAUAAUAAGAGACAUUUCAAGCAGGCAGAGGGUCAUGAUGGACAGCGCUGUUUGAGAAAAGCCAUGACAGACUGGCAGGAGGUAUGAAAACCAAAAUAAAUAACACUAAUCACUCUGGAACAAAUCUUCACAAAGGAAAUGGCAGAGAAUGCUUGAAAUAGUAAUUUUGUUUAUGAUGCAGCAUUGUCUUUAGCUAUCCUUUGCACUUUCGACUUGCCACUUCAACAGUUCAGACCAACAAAUGAGGCUUUAUAACAUGACAAGUAAUAUAUAUUUAUUUGUUUAGUGCCUUUCACAACACAUAUUUCAACAACCUGCAAGAAUAUAGCAAUGUUAACAUAGACAUGAAUAAAUGCAAACAUCUUAAUUUAAGUGUCCCAGGUACCCUAAUUCACUCUAAAUGUUAAUGUGUGUGACAGUUUGUAGAUCACAGAAGACGGAAGAGAAAGAGACUUGCACAAAUGGACAAACACUACCAAAGUAAACUGCUCAGUCAUACUCUAGAGGCGUGGAGGGUAUGAAUAUCAAAGACUUUGUCACAAGAUUCACAAGAAGUAUAGACACAAGAUGUAAACUAAAUGUGUGGUAACAUGAUUUUAGUGUCAUUUACUAACAUUUACAGUGUAAGUUAUACCAAAUUUUAGUCGCCAUGACGACGUAGCUUGUACACCCUAAAAUGAUGAUAUAAAUUCAAUAGCUCAAAUAAUACACAAGUUUUAACAGAAGAAUUUAAGUGCUUUUAUAAAAUUAUAAGCUUCACAUUUCUGCUUUCAACCCUAAAAGAAUUGGCCCCAUUCACUUCCAUUGUAAUUGUCUCACUGUUACCCAGGAUGUUCCUUCUUUUUUUUUUAAGAAAAGGAGGGACGAGUCUAAAUACAUUUUUGUAGUAAUCAACAUUACACCACAAAUGCUGUCGAUUGAUUUAAACUUAAAUUGAGCACGGAAUAUUCCUUGAAAUAAAUAUUACAUUAUAUAUAAAUGCAGUACUGUGCAAAGGUCUUAUAAGAUGUUUCACAAAAGCAUUUGUCUUAAGAUUGUUAUUUAUAUCUUCAGCUUUAGUGUGUCAAU